rnacentral:rRNA from 1 species
UACGUAGGGUGCGAGCGUUGUCCGGAAUUAUUGGGCGUAAAGAGCUCGUAGGCGGUUUGUCACGUCUGCUGUGAAAUCCCGAGGCUCAACCUCGGGCCUGCAGUGGGUACGGGCAGACUGGAGUGCGGUAGGGGGAGAAUGGAAUUCCUGGUGUAGCGGUGGAAUGCGCAGAUAUCAGGAGGAACAGCCGGUGGCGAAGGCGGGAUCCUGGGCCAGUACUGACGCUGAGGAGCGAAAGCGUGGGGAGCAAACAGG